GAUCAUUACCGAGCGAGGGCUCCGGCCCGACCUCUCAACCCCUGCCUUCCCACGCGCGUUGCUUCGGCGGCUGCGGGCCCCCGCGGUCCUGCCCGCCAGGAGGCCAUCUCUAAACGCUACAAUCAUGGGGCUCUGAGUCACGACCUAACACUAAAAACUUUCAACAACGGAUCUCUUGGCUCUGGUGUCGAUGAAGAACGCAGCGAAAUGCGAUAAGUAGUACGAAUUGCAGAAUUCAGCGAAUGAUCGAAUCUUUGAACGCACAUUGCGCCCCCUGGCAUCCCGGGGGGCACGCCUGUCCGAGCGUCAUUACGCCCCUCAAGCCUGGCUUGGUAUCUGGGCCGCGCCCCUCGCGGGGCGGGCCUCAAACCCCUGGGCGGUGCCGCCCCCGCCCGGCGUGAUCAGGAGCAUCCCUCCACGCGCCGGCGCGGGCGAUGCCCGCCGCGAAUGACCCUCCAGUUUGACCUCGGAUCAGGCGGGGAUACCCGCUGAACUUAAGCAUAUCAAUAA
rnacentral:sRNA from 1 species